AAAAAGAACCUGAAACCGUGUACGUACAAGCAGUGGGAGCACCUUCGGGUGUGACUGCGUACCUUUUGUAUAAUGGGUCAGCGACUUAUAUUCUGUAGCAAGGUUAACCGUAUAGGGGAGCCGCAGGGAAACCGAGUCUUAACUGGGCGUUAAGUUGCAGGGUAUAGACCCGAAACCCGGUGAUCUAGCCAUGGGCAGGUUGAAGGUUGGGUAACACUAACUGGAGGACCGAACCGACUAAUGUUGAAAAAUUAGCGGAUGACUUGUGGCUGGGGGUGAAAGGCCAAUCAAACCGGGAGAUAGCUGGUUCUCCCCGAAAGCUAUUUAGGUAGCGCCUCGUGAA
rnacentral:rRNA from 1 species